rnacentral:lncRNA from 1 species
AACACCCCAAGUUCUGCAAGCUCAAAUGAAUGUUAGUUUCUUCUCAAUGCAAGGAGGGUCGAUGCACUAUUGUUGGAGCGAGAUUAAUCUCGUGUGUCAUGCAUGCUGUGCCGUAAUAGGCUUGGGUGGAGUCAGGAGCCCUCAUCCUACAAUCAUGAUCAAGGGUGCUACAUCAAUUGUGCAGCCGUGUCAAUAAUUUUUUAGAAUGCUAACAAAUGGGAGCCCUUGACAUUGCCUCUACCGGAAUCGCGCAAUUCUGCCCGAAGUUAGUGCAACCGGCAUGGGCAGAGAGUAUUCAAUUAAAC